ACGAGGAGCUUGCUCCUCUGACGUUAGCGGCGGACGGGUGAGUAACACGUGGAUAACCUACCUAUAAGACUGGGAUAACUUCGGGAAACCGGAGCUAAUACCGGAUAACAUGUUGAACCGCAUGGUUCAACAGUGAAAGACGGUCUUGCUGUCACUUAUAGAUGGAUCCGCGCCGCAUUAGCUAGUUGGUAAGGUAACGGCUUACCAAGGCAACGAUGCGUAGCCGACCUGAGAGGGUGAUCGGCCACACUGGAACUGAGACACGGUCCAGACUCCUACGGGAGGCAGCAGUAGGGAAUCUUCCGCAAUGGGCGAAAGCCUGACGGAGCAACGCCGCGUGAGUGAAGAAGGUCUUCGGAUCGUAAAACUCUGUUAUUAGGGAAGAACAAAUGUGUAAGUAACUAUGCACGUCUUGACGGUACCUAAUCAGAAAGCCACGGCUAACUACGUGCCAGCAGCCGCGGUAAUACGUAGGUGGCAAGCGUUAUCCGGAAUUAUUGGGCGUAAAGCGCGCGUAGGCGGUUUUUUAAGUCUGAUGUGAAAGCCCACGGCUCAACCGUGGAGGGUCAUUGGAAACUGGAAAACUUGAGUGCAGAAGAGGAAAGUGGAAUUCCAUGUGUAGCGGUGAAAUGCGCAGAGAUAUGGAGGAACACCAGUGGCGAAAGCGACUUUCUGGUCUGUAACUGACGCUGAUGUGCGAAAGCGUGGGGAUCAAACAGGAUUAGAUACCCUGGUAGUC
rnacentral:rRNA from 1 species